rnacentral:rRNA from 1 species
ACAGCCUUGCUGAAUUAUUCACCCUUGUCUUUUGCGUACUUCUUGUUUCCUUGGUGGGUUCGCCCACCACUAGGACAAACAUAAACCUUUUGUAAUUGCAAUCAGCGUCAGUAACAAAUUAAUAAUUACAACUUUCAACAACGGAUCUCUUGGUUCUGGCAUCGAUGAAGAACGCAGCGAAAUGCGAUAAGUAGUGUGAAUUGCAGAAUUCAGUGAAUCAUCGAAUCUUUGAACGCACAUUGCGCCCUUUGGUAUUCCAAAGGGCAUGCCUGUUCGAGCGUCAUUUGUACCCUCAAGCUUUGCUUGGUGUUGGGCGUCUUGUCUCUAGCUUUGCUGGAGACUCGCCUUAAAGUAAUUGGCAGCCGGCCUACUGGUUUCGGAGCGCAGCACAAGUCGCACUCUCUAUCAGCAAAGGUCUAGCAUCCAUUAAGCCUUUUUUCAACUUUUGACCUCGGAUCAGGUAGGGAUACCCGCUGAACUUAAGCAUAUCAAUAAGCGGAGGA